UACGGAGGGUGCAAGCGUUAAUCGGAAUUACUGGGCGUAAAGAGUGCGUAGGUGGUUAUGUGUGUUAGAUGUGAAAUCCAUGGGCUCAACCUGUGAAUUGCAUUUAAAACUGCAUAGCUAGAGUGUUGUAGAGGGUGGCGGAAUUUCCAGUGUAGCGGUGAAAUGCGUAGAUAUUGGAAGGAACACCAGUGGCGAAGGCGGCCGCCUGGACAAACACUGACACUGAGGUACGAAAGCGUGGGUAGCGAACAGG
rnacentral:rRNA from 1 species